rnacentral:rRNA from 1 species
UACAGAGGGUGCAAGCGUUGUUCGGAAUUAUUGGGCGUAAAGCGCACGUAGGCGGUUGAGAAAGUCUGAUGUGAAAGCCCUGGGCUCAACCCAGGAAGUGCAUUGGAUACUCCUCGACUUGAAUCUCGGAGAGGUUGGUGGAAUUCCCGGUGGAGAGGUGAAAUUCGUAGAUAUCGGGAGGAACACCAGUGGCGAAGGCGGCCAACUGGACGAAGAUUGACGCUGAGGUGCGAAAGCGCGGGUAGCAAACAGG